rnacentral:rRNA from 1 species
UACGUAGGGCGCAAGCGUUGUCCGGAAUUAUUGGGCGUAAAGAGCUCGUAGGCGGCUUGUCGCGUCGGAUGUGAAAACCCGGGGCUCAACUCCGGGCCUGCAGUCGAUACGGGCUGGCUUGAGUGCGGUAGGGGAGACUGGAAUUCCUGGUGUAGCGGUGAAAUGCGCAGAUAUCAGGAGGAACACCGGUGGCGAAGGCGGGUCUCUGGGCCGUAACUGACGCUGAGGAGCGAAGCCAGGGGAGCAAACGGG